GUCCUCACUUCAGCUGCACAUAUACUAAAAUUGAAAUGAUACAGAGAAGAUUAGUAUGGCCCCUGUACAAGGAUGACAUGCAAGUUCAGGAAGCAUUCCUUACUUUU
ensembl:snRNA U6 U6 spliceosomal RNA